UACGAAGGGGGCUAGCGUUGCUCGGAAUCACUGGGCGUAAAGCGCACGUAGGCGGAUUGUUAAGUCAGGGGUGAAAUCCUGGAGCUCAACUCCAGAACUGCCUUUGAUACUGGCGAUCUCGAGUCCGGGAGAGGUGAGUGGAACUGCGAGUGUAGAGGUGAAAUUCGUAGAUAUUCGCAAGAACACCGGUGGCGAAGGCGGCUCUCUGGAACGGUACCGACGCUGAGACGCGAAAGCGUGGGGAGCGAACAGG
rnacentral:rRNA from 1 species